CCUACGGGUGGCAGCAGUAGGGACUUUUGCGCAAUGGGCGAAAGCCUGACGCAGCAACGCCGCGUGAACGAGACGCCCUUCGGGGUGUAAAGUUCUGUCAGUGGGGACGAAAAAUGCCGGUACCCACAGAGGAAGCCCCGGAUAACUCCGUGCCAGAAGCCGCGGUACUACGGAGGAUGCGAGGGUUCUCCGGAUUUAUUGGGUGUAAGGGGUGCGUAGGCGGAAGGUUAAGUCAGCGGUCAAAUGUCGGUGCUAAACACCGGCCUGUCGUUGAAACUGUUCUUCUUGAGUGAGCGAGAAGUAUGCGGAAUGCGUGGUGUAGCGGUGAAAUGCAUAGAUAUCACGCAGAACUCCGAUUGCGAAGGCAGCAUACCGGCGCUCAACUGACGCUGAGGCACGAAAGCGUGGGGAUCGAACAGGAUUAGAUACCCCGGUAGUC
rnacentral:rRNA from 1 species